rnacentral:rRNA from 1 species
CCUACGGGAGGCAGCAGUGGGGAAUAUUGCACAAUGGGGGAAACCCUGAUGCAGCAACGCCGCGUGGAGGAUGAAGGUUUUCGGAUUGUAAACUCCUUUUGUUAGAGAAGAUAAUGACGGUAUCUAACGAAUAAGCACCGGCUAACUCCGUGCCAGCAUCCGCGGUAAUACGGAGGGUGCAAGCGUUACUCGGAAUCACUGGGCGUAAAGAGCGCGUAGGCGGGAUAGCAAGGCAGAUGUGAAAUCCUAUGGCUUAACCAUAGAACUGCAUUUGAAACUGUUAUUCUAGAGGAUGGGAGAGGUAGGUGGAAUUCUUGGUGGAGGGGUAAAAUCCGUAGAGAUCAAGAGGAAUACUCAUUGCGAAGGCGACCUGCUAGAACAUAACUGACGCUGAUGCGCGAAAGCGUGGGGAGGAAACAGGAUUAGAUACCCUUGUAGUC